GCCUGGGUGGCGGAAUUGGUAGACGCAAGGGACUUAAAAUCCCUCGGGACCUAGUCCCGUACGAGUUCAAGUCUCGUCCUAGGCACCA
rnacentral:tRNA from 1 species